UCCCGUUAUUAGCAAAAUGUGAAGAUCAACGGUAAAUGUCAUACAUUAAAAAAAAUGUAAAUUUUCCUUCUUUUUUCAAAUCGAGGUCAUCCACCAACUGGCUUUUUUUUCAUAACAAUCUACCAUCUUGGUCUUGGUGCAUAAUUAUAUUCGCGUGUACCUUCCUCUUAAAAAAAAAAAAAACAAGAACUUGUCCCUUCAAUAACUGCAGAUUUUUCAAACUUGAUCGAACCAAAAAAAAAAAAUUGACAUUGCCAAAAACUUACGAAUAACGAUGUUAUCAUUAAAUUCAGAAAAAAAAAAAAAUAAAUAAAUAAACGAAUUCAGAAUACUUAAACAGAAAGUAAAAGAAAAUACAAAAAUAUUCCACAAGGAACAACUGAACCUUUCCAUAAUUUAAUUUAAAAAGAAAUUCAAUUCUUUCUCUGCCAAAUUCAUCACAGUAAGAGGACCAAACCAAAAACCAAAAAAAAAAAAAAAAAGAAGUGAAGAAAA